GGUGCGAUGGCCGAGAGGCGAGGCACAGGACUGCAAAUCCUGCUACACGGGUUCAAAUCCCGUUCGCACCUC
rnacentral:tRNA from 1 species